CCACCUAAUUCCAUCUCGAACUUAGAAGUGAAACGGUGUGACGCCGAUGGUAGU
rnacentral:rRNA from 1 species